UCCGGGUUUCGCCCGGCAGUCUCCCUAGAACAUUCAACUGGGAGCGGGGGUUGCGCUCGUUGCGGGACUUAACCCAACAUCUCACGACACGAGCUGACGACAGCCAUGCAGCACCUGUGCAGGAACUCCGAAGAGGGCCCGUGGUUUCUCACGGGUUUCUCCUGCAUGUCAAGCCCAGGUAAGGUUCUUCGCGUUGCGUCGAAUUAAACCACAUGCUCCACCGCUUGUGCGGGCCCCCGCCAAUUCCUUUGAGUUUCAAUCUUGCGAUCGUACUUCCCAGGUGGGAUACUUAAUGCUUUCGCUCAGACACUUGCUGUGUAUCGCAAAUGUCGAGUAUCCAUCGUUUAGGGCGUGGACUAC
rnacentral:misc_RNA from 1 species